UUGAAAGGGAAACGAUUGAAGUCAGUCGUACCGACGAGAAAUCAGCUUAUCGUGUGUUAACUUGUGGGCGUGCGUGAGUUUCGGCCUCGCUGUUUGCAAGUUUGUGCGCUUUGGGUGUACUUUUUCGUAUGGUUGGCCAACAUCAGUUUCGAUUACUAUAAAAUGACUGGCGGAAUGUAGCUUCGAUUUCGGUUGAAGUGUUAUAGCCUCUGGUAGAUGUGGUAAUUGAGACUGAGGAUUGCAACGAAUAUCCUUUGGGCUAUCCGUCUGGCCUCUGAAAGUUGCUUGGGUGCUGAAAGCUUGCUUAUGGUUAUCUAAGUUAACGGUCAAUAGGUUAGAACGUGAUUACAUUCGUUAAGGAUGUUGACGUA
rnacentral:rRNA from 1 species